rnacentral:tRNA from 1 species
AGCUAAUUAAUUUAAUAAAAAUAUUAGUCUUGUAAACUAAAAAUAAACACCUUUAUUAGCUU